UACAGAGGUGCUCAAGCGUUGUUCGGAUUCAUUGGGCGUAAAGGGUGCGUAGGCGGCGCGGUAAGUCGGGUGUGAAAUCUCGGAGCUUAACUCCGAAACUGCAUUCGAUACUGCCGUGCUUGAGGACUGGGAGAGGAGACUGGAAUUUACGGUGUAGCGGUGAAAUGCGUAGAUAUCGUAAGGAAGACCAGUGGCGAAGGCGGGUCUCUGGGCCGAUACUGACGCUGAGGAGCGAAAGGCGUGGGGAGCGAACAGG
rnacentral:rRNA from 1 species